UAAAAGCCUUUGUGUACUUUCCGUGACUUGGUACAUUCCACUCCUCCCCUCUGUGUCGAGCUAUGUGGAAUGUUCCACUUCCCUUGUCGGAGCUUCUUCCAAGCCGAGACAGAAACAGGAAGAGGACGAGGAGCAGCGGGAAUAAACACAUGACCUGAGCGAUCCGAUCACACGUGUUCAGAUUACACCUGCUACUGCUGCUAAUGUGACGUCACUGCUCCUCAGCAAACACACGAUCACCGUGUAACCAUCAGGUGCAGGAGGACCUGGCUGACCUGGAGGAGGACGAGGACGAGGACGAGGACGAGGAGCAGCACGGACAAAUGUGUGGUAACUGAUGCUUAAAAAUGAUCCACACAUUUAUUAGAUGUUCUGUUGAUGCUCUGUUCACACCUGCUGUUAACAUCUGAUCCGAGUCAUCCGAUCAUAGUUGUUCAGAUUACCCCUGCUACUGCUAUUGCUAAUAUCACGUCAAAUGAUGAUUCUCAAAUGUCUUUUUUUAUCCACCAACCAAAAAUUAUUCAGUUUUAAUUCCUUCUUUGUUACAAGGAACAAUGAAACCGGAAAAUGUUCAACAUUUAUAAUAAAAAACAAACAAUUAAUCUAUUAUUAAAGUAUUUGACAAUUCAUUUAGUUGUCGUUUAAUAAUGCUGUAAUCGUUGCAUCCCUACUUUAUAUAUAUAUUUUUUUAAAAUCAUCAGAGAAAUCAUAUGAUUUAUUGCGAUACUUGCAAAAUCAUACAUUGUGAUACACUGACACAACAGUGACCACUUGGCACCAUCUAGUGAACUGAAAGGUUCAUUUAUUUUGUUUAUUUGUAAUGCUAAUCCACAAAAAAGUUUGACGUUUAUUUAUAACAUCAGUUCAAAACAUUGUUAUGGAACAAACCAUGACUCUUUCACCUGUCAUUUCAUCACCUCACACGGACGACGUUAACAGCACUUGUCAACAGAGAGUUUAAUGUGUGCACAUCAUUUUUACAUUGUUAACAGGUGAAAACUAGGGACCACUCAAAGUCACAAAAUUCUAUCAAUAAAUACACCAUUCAAUAAUGACUACAAUGUGCCAUUCAUUCAUUGAUUCAAAUUGGAAUGAAAUACAUACACGUCUUAUUAAAUGUGACAUUCAUUCAUUCAUUCAUUCAAAUACCAAUUCAUUUGAUGUAAAAAACAACAUAUAGAAUGACUUGACUGUUGAAUGAAUGAUUUCAUGGUCCUGUGUUGCAGUGCAUCAUCAGUUGAUUUGAUGCUGAUGGGUGACUUUGACACGUUAAAUCAAUUCAUGAUGCACUGCAACACAGGACCAUGACAUCAUUCAUGUCAAAGUCAAGUCAUUAGAUAUGUUUUGUGGUAUUUGAAUGAAUGAAAGUCACAUUUAAUAAGACGUGUAUGUAUUUCAUUCCAAUUUGAAUCAAUGAAUAAAUGUCACAUUGUAGUCCUUAUUGAACGGUGUAAUUAUUUAUUGAGUGAAUUUUGUAACUUUGAGCGCUCCCUAGUUUUCACCUGUUAACAAUGUAAAAAUGAUGUGCACACAUUAAUCCCACAGAAGUCUAAUUGAUGUGCUGAUCAUUUUUAAGCAUCAGUUGCUGGACACCGGUACCCCGACUGUGUG